CCUACGGGAGGCAGCAGUGGGGAAUAUUGCACAAUGGGGGGAACCCUGAUGCAGCGACGCCGCGUGAGUGAAGAAGUAUUUCGGUAUGUAAAGCCCUAUCAGCAGGGAAGAAAGAAGACGGUACCUGACUAAGAAGCCCCGGCUAACUACGUGCCAGCAGCCGCGGUAAUACGUAGGGGGCGAGCGUUAUCCGGAUUCACUGGGUGUAAAGGGAGCGUAGACGGCCGUGCAAGCCAGGAGUGAAAGCCCGGGGCCCAACCCCGGGACUGCUCUUGGAACUGUGCGGCUGGAGUGCGGGAGGGGCAGGCGGAAGUCCUGGUGUAGCGGUGAAAUGCGUAGAUAUCAGGAGGAACACCGGCGGCGAAGGCGGCCUGCUGGACCGCGACUGACGUUGAGGCUCGAAAGCGUGGGGAGCGAACAGGAUUAGAUACCCUUGUAGUC
rnacentral:rRNA from 1 species